rnacentral:rRNA from 1 species
CCUACGGGAGGCUGCAGUGAGGAAUAUUGGUCAAUGGCCGUAAGGCUGAACCAGCCAAGUCGCGUGAAGGAAGAAGGAUCUAUGGUUUGUAAACUUCUUUUAUAGGGGAAUAAAGGUAUCCACGUGUGGAUAUUUGCAUGUACCCUAUGAAUAAGCAUCGGCUAACUCCGUGCCAGCAGCCGCGGUAAUACGGAGGAUGCGAGCGUUAUCCGGAUUUAUUGGGUUUAAAGGGUGCGUAGGUUGUUUUUUAAGUCAGCGGUGAAAGUUUGUGGCUCAACCAUAAAAUUGCCGUUGAAACUGGAAGACUUGAGUGUGUUUGAGGUAAGCGGAAUUCGUGGUGUAGCGGUGAAAUGCUUAGAUAUCACGAAGAACCCCGAUUGCGAAGGCAGCUUACUAAACUGUGACUGACAUUGAUGCUCGAAAGUGUGGGUAUCAAACAGGAUUAGAUACCCGAGUAGUC